UACGGGGGGGGCAAGCGUUGUUCGGAAUUACUGGGCGUAAAGGGCCAGUAGGCGGCCAACUAAGUCGGAUGUGAAAUCCCCAGGCUCAACUUGGGAACUGCAUCCGAUACUGGAUGGCUUGAAUUCGGGAGAGGGAUGCAGAAUUCCAGGUGUAGCGGUGAAAUGCGUAGAUAUCUGGAGGAAUACCGGUGGCGAAGGCGGCAUCCUGGACCAGCACUGACACUGAGGCACGAAAGCGUGGGGAGCAAACAGG
rnacentral:rRNA from 1 species